UGGUGACUAAACGACAGUUUGGCUGUUGAGUUUCAUUUUCAUCUUUGCAACUUCCUCAAAAAUGGUGAGUAAGCUUUUUUGCACCGUCUGUUGAGAAGAAAAACGGGACUAAACGGCAAAAAUGAACAAUUGAACACACUAUCUUGUAUCCAUCUAUCGAUUUUGCCAAAACACCUCGAAAUCCAUUCAAGAGUUUUGACGCGCAGGAACGCGCGCACCUAAAAGGCUAUAAGGAAACCAUAUUUCAUUUCAGAAUUGGUUCAAAUUAUGUUAGGAUCAGGGUUUUAAUAAGGUAUGGGUCAGUAUUAUGUUUUGCAGGUCAGAAGUGUCCUAAUAGCCUCUGUCCCCGUGCGCAGAAACGUCUAUGCAAAUAUUAGGUGUAGUCUACUAUAUUUGCUCAGUCCUCUUAAAAACGUAGCUAUUUCAGUAAAUCAUUUGGCUAAUUUCAAAUUAAUAUGAACCUUCUAAUGAGUUUUCAUAAUAGCAGUAUCAGUUAUUGUAUAGGCCAAGUGAUCUAUUUAAUGGUUAUGACGUCAUCUUUCUCAUGACAGGACGCUGAACAACAGAAGAAGGCAGAAGAAUUUCUAUUGUCUGGAGCAAGUUUUAGGACAAAUGCCUUCAGAAUCAUCAACAUAAUGAUUAAACUAUGCAAAGACAAGCCUGGCUGUAAGGUGCAUGUGGAUGAGGUAUGUAUGCAUUUGAAGGUGUCAUUGGAUAGUUUAUCUUCUUUUCCUGCAUAAAACAACCUCAAAAAAUAUGAAUGAAUGGAUGGAUGGAUGGAUAGAGUCAUCCAGAAAUUAGGGUUAUGCAUCCAAAGAGACAAUCAUUUAAUUUGUACUUCUCAUAGCAAACCUGUGUUUGUCUCUAAGAUUCUCCACAGCAUCUUCUUCUUAGGUUUCAUUCAUAAACCCCAACAAUGCACCCCCAACGAUAUCCUUGGUGAACUUAUGCCUGAAAUGGAGAGGAUUUUCCCGAGACCAUUUGAGAAUUACACAAGUAAACUGCCCAAACGGACUCCGUUCUCCUCUGUGCUGGAUAUGGUGGUCUCCUUGCUUGGACCAGACAGUGAGAUCAAUAUACUGGAGAGACUGAAGGAAAUCGCCAAUAUCAUGUCAGAAGCCAAGAGUAAAUACCAGUUCACCUCCUCGACCAUCUGUGUCUCUCAAAGGAAGGAUGUUCAAAGAAGUUACUAUGGAGCGUCCAUGUCCUGCACGGGGAAGAAAGGACAGAUUAUGAUCGCUGUGUCCUGUCUGUGUACCUGGCACUACAGUGUAUCCAAUGCCGUGAUGACAUACAAGCCAGAUAAGAACAAGAGAAAUAACUUUGAUGGCACCAUGAAACUACAAGGACAUGUAAAGUGCCAGGCUUCCAAUGUGAAGAGUGGGGAGGAGAUGUCUCCUUGCAGGUCCUGUGGUCAUCUUUUUGGUCUGAAGGAACCAAGCAAUCAGAUGUGGCCCUAUGGGAACUGCGCAGAGGCAGAGAGCUUGAGCAAACUGCUCUAUGGAGAGGAAGAGAUUGUUAAGAAUGUAGUACCAUCAGUUGAUUGCAAAAUGCGAGAGCAAGUGGUGAAGGAGGUAAAGGCUCACCUGGAAGAGAUGCUCAAAGAGUCAGAAUUUCAAUGGGAUUCUUCCUAUUACAUUCCACAGUAGAUUGUCAGAGAAACGCAUGUGCGCACACGCACACACACACUAAGUUUACAGAUAUACAGAUGCACAUUCCUACUGUGACACACAGAUCCAAAACAUAUAAUCAUAGCUUGGUGCGGGGCUAGCAACAUGUGAUUUGUGUCUGACAGCUAGCAUUGAAACAUUGCCAAAGCAGUGAACCACUCUGUGCAUGUAGUAUACAGUAUAACUGCUAGGCUAUAGCUAUCGGCUCUUAUCAAUGACAUCUGUGAGGUAGAUGGUUCUUUUAGAAGGGGACCGUUGUUUAGAGUACCUCAUGGAGAUACCUGAAAUUGAAUUUAAUAUUCUAGUCUAGACAAAGCAUUUAACAUAUAUAUAUUUUUAAAGAUGAUUUUAAUUGGAAUUUUAAACUUUAUUUCUGUAUACUCUAGUUAUUAAUGCACAUUUUACUAAUCUGUAACAAAUUACUAAUACUGUAAACAUUGGUGUGAAUUCAUGUCUGGGUUGAUUUCUAGCUAUGUGAGGAAUUCAUCUAAUAAAGGAACUUAAAUUGUAACCAUUGUAAUGUAGCCUAUGUUGUCAUUUGUGUGUGUGACAGAGAGAUUUUCAGUGCUUACUGUUCUUAGUUUGCAAACGGAAGGGUGAAGAGAGUUGAAAUAGCAGAACAAAAAAACAGGAUGCUGAUAAAGUGAAGUGCAAUUAUUCAUGGUAUUGUGUAUUGGUAUAUUGAAGUGAAUAUACUGUAUGUGUGUGGGAAGAGAAAUUUCCUAAGAUUAAUAAAAACAUAAGGUUAACAACCUGCAUGAAUAAAUUGCAGUUACUUAUAUGACACAUGGAUAUGGAAAGACCAAGGGCUUUAUUUUCGGC
ensembl:lncRNA